rnacentral:lncRNA from 10 species
AGGAUAGCCUACGAACUUCCCUUUAAAGAAAGCUACGUAGAAGCAGGAUGAGUAAAAAUUUACAAACUGAAACAGGAACAUUUUCAAGGUGGAGCACAGUGGCGUGAUCUCAGCACACUGGAACCUCCGCCUCCCAGGUUCAAGCAAUUCUCCUGCGUCAUCCUCUCGAGUAGCUGGGACUACAGAUGUGCACCACCACACCUGGCUAAUUUUUUUGUAUUUCUAGUAGAGACAGGGUUUCACCAUGUUGGCCAGGCUGGUCUCAAACUCCUGACCUCGUGAUCCACCUGCCUCUGUCUCCUAAAGUGCUGGGAUUACAGGCAUGAGCCACCAUGCCUCGCCAAUUGAGAGCUAAUGGUUUUAAAGUGUGGCACUUCCCCAUGCACUCUCUCUCUCCUGCUGCCUUAUGAAAAACGUGUUUGUUUCCCCUUUACCUUCUACCAUGAUUGUUAAGUUUCCUGAGGCCUCCCCAGCCAUGUGAACCGAGUCAAUUAAACCUCUUUCCUUUACAAACUA